AGAGUUUGAUCCUGGCUCAGAAUGAACGCUGGCGGCAUGCCUAACACAUGCAAGUCGAACGAGAUCUUCGGAUCUAGUGGCGCACGGGUGCGUAACGCGUGGGAAUCUACCCCUUGGUUCGGAGUAACAGUUGGAAACGACUGCUAAUACCGGAUGAUGACGUAAGUCCAAAGAUUUAUCGCCGAGGGAUGAGCCCGCGUAGGAUUAGGUAGUUGGUGUGGUAAAGGCGCACCAAGCCUACGAUCCUUAGCUGGUCUGAGAGGAUGAUCAGCCACACUGGGACUGAGACACGGCCCAGACUCCUACGGGAGGCAGCAGUGGGGAAUAUUGGACAAUGGGCGAAAGCCUGAUCCAGCAAUGCCGCGUGAGUGAUGAAGGCCCUAGGGUUGUAAAGCUCUUUUACCCGGGAUGAUAAUGACAGUACCGGGAGAAUAAGCUCCGGCUAACUCCGUGCCAGCAGCCGCGGUAAUACGGAGGGAGCUAGCGUUAUUCGGAAUUACUGGGCGUAAAGCGCACGUAGGCGGCUUUGUAAGUAAGAGGUGAAAGCCUGGUGCUCAACACCAGAACUGCCUUUUAGACUGCAUCGCCUGAAUCCAGGAGAGGUGAGUGGAAUUCCGAGUGUAGAGGUGAAAUUCGUAGAUAUUCGGAAGAACACCAGUGGCGAAGGCGGCUCACUGGACUGGUAUUGACGCUGAGGUG
rnacentral:rRNA from 1 species